rnacentral:lncRNA from 1 species
AAUAACUCACGUAAAUGAGGUACUAACUCACUAUAAAUAUCCUGUGGAAUCAAUGAGUCUUAACAUAGUACAAUUUGGAGUUUCCUUCUUUGUAUUUUUCAAAGCAAAGGCAAUGGAGGGGAAGACAAUGGUCAAGUUAUCUCAUGUAUUUGCUUUUUUGCUCCUUGCAUCACGUAAGUUAGCCUUUUCUCAUGCACAUUUAUAUUUAUUUCAAAUAUUCGAAAACAGAACUUAUUAUCUCUCAAAUAAGUAGUAAGUAAUUAUUCUUGUGAAUUAUUUAUUAAUUUGAAUUAUAGUUUUGCAAUCUCUUACGGCACGAGAUCUGGUAUUCGAAGUGAAUGAUGGAAUAGAACCAAAGCAAAGGCAAUGGAGGGGAAGACUAUGGUCAAGUUAUCUCAUGUGGUUGCGUUCUUGCUCCUUUCAUCACGUAAGUUAGCCUUUUCUCUUGCACAUUUCUACUUAUUUUUUAGUGAAUUUUGGUCAGUAGACCAUUAGAGAAGUAAUCAAAAGAGAAAUCACAUAAGGGUUAUCCAAAAUCACUCAUUGGAGUAUUUAUAUAUAGAUUUGCAUAUGAAUAUCAGAUAAAACUAAUGAUACACAGUAACACAUAUAGUAAGAAUCUAACAAAAAUUUACCCACAAACAAGUGCAAGAAAAAAGGAUUAAUCGGAGGAAAAACUUGCCAAAAGUGAGAGCUCGAAUCAGAGAAUUAUUCGAAGAAGGGAACAACCUUCACAAGUGUAAUGAUCCGAUCGGUUGUUUUGAGAAUUAGCAUUUGUUCCGUGUCUUGAAGUCUCGAUCAACUUCGUAUUAUGUAGUAUUACUUGCUUAUGUGGCCGGUUUCGAUUUUUGGAUGAUGCAUGAUUGAUUUGGAAGGAUGAUUCUUGUUUUAGAAGUUUAAGCGGUAAGAGUUGACCGGAGAUUGAUUUGUGUAAACAACUCCGGAAUGGUAUUUUGAUGAUUUCAAUAGUUUCAUAUGGUGAUUUUGGGCUUAGGCGUAUGUUCGAAUUUAGGUUUGGAGGUUUGCAGGUUAAUUUGAUGCAUUUUAGCAAAAAUUAGAAAGUUGAAGGGCUCAAAGGUUGAGAAGUUUGACCCGGGAGUUGACUUUGUUGAUAUCGGGUUCGAUUUUGAUUCUAGGGGUUAGAAUAGUUCUGUUUUGUCAUUUGGAACUUGAAUGCAAAUUUGACGUCAUUCCGGUUGAUUUGAUAUGAUUCGUCAUUAGUUAUAGAAUUAUAAAGUUCAUUAAGUUCGAUUUGAGGCACAAUUUAUAGUUUUGAUGAUGUUUGAUGUGAUUUGAGGCCUCAAGUAUGUCCACAUUAUGUUAUGGAACUUGUUAGUACGUUCGGACGGAGUCUCAGGGGGCCCGAAUAUAUUUCGGAGAGGUUUCAAAUCAUUUGGACCAUGUUGAGAGAAGCUGGUUUUGGAUAGGGCCUUGCUGUGGUUGCACCUGCAGACCACUGGCACAGGUGCAUUGAUCUCAGGUGUAAAGGAAAAGGGGUGCAGAAGCGGAACAAGAUUAGAUGAGGAAGACUGUAGCAGCAGAUGUCUAGGCCUACCUACAUAUCCGUAGGUGAGGAACAUUGAGCGCAGAAGCGACAUUGGCCCAGGUGAGGUAAUUCCUCAUAAGUGCAUUAUUGCUCGCAGAAGCAGGUGUCGCAUAAGCGACCUUCUGACCACAAAAGUGGGAUUUUCUCGGCAGAGUGUAUUUAUUUUGAGAGUUCGAUUAUUUUUAUCACUUUUUGAGUUACAGACCUAUAUUUCGGGAGAUUUUGGAGGGGUUCUUCACAGUUUGGAUUGGUAAGUUUUCUUUAUCCAGAAUUGAUUAUAUUUCAUGAUUAUAUAAUUAUAUUUAUCAUUAGAUUAGUAAUUUUGAGUUGGAGAAAAUGAUAAUUUUUAUGAAAACUUUCAAAAAUAUAAAAUGAGGAUUUGAAGGAUAAGAAUUGAAUAACUUCGGUAUGGUUGGACUCACGUCGGAAUUGGUGUCCGUAUUUUAUCAAUUUUCCCGGGUUCCGAGGUCGUGAGGUUGACUUUUAGUUCAUUAAAAAACGAAACUUUACUACUCCGAUUUUUUCCCUAUAGUCUUUAUUUAUGAUAUUUAGUUAUGUUGGCUAUAUUUGAACGAUCCGGAAGUUGUUUCACUCGAGAAGGUCAUUUAUAAAAUUUAUUUAGCUUCAUUGAGGUAAGUAUCUCGCCUAACUUUGUGCGCGGGAACUACCCUUAGGAUUUGAGUCGUUUAUUCUAAUUGUUUUGUAUGAAAGUUGUAUACGCGAGAUGAUGAGUACGUACUCGGGCUUAUUCGUGAAAAAUGUCUGUUUUAGAUUCUUAGGAUUUUUCAUGUAUUUAUUUUGAAUUGUAAGCAUAUGUUAUAUUCUUUAUUCGCCAUGUUCACCAUCAUAUGCUUUAUUUGAAGUUGUCAUUACAUGACACAUCCUUUACUUGUUGGGUUUGCUCUUGUAUGCUUUAUUUGAAGUUGUUACCGAUUUUAUCAUUGUGUGAUCUCUUUUAUUAUUGAGUUAUUCUUAGUUGAAAUUGUUGUACAUGAUAUCCCUUUGUUGCCGGGUUGUUCUUUUCCAUUCUGACGUAGUAUCAGUUCGUACACUAGAACCUGGAGUAUGCCAUUUCGUGGAGAUACUUUCACUAAUGAGUUUAUUCUUAAACAAUUAAUUGGAAUGGAAGUUAUCGAAAGUCAUUAAUCUAUUUUAAAUUGGAGUCAUGUUUAAUAGGGGUGUUGUUCCUUGUGAAUUACUUUCCCACUCAUUUUUUCGUUAUUAAGAUUUUUGAUACACAUUACGUUUGAGUCUUGGACUAUUUGUUGUGGAAAUAUUAAUUGUUGGAUAUUUGAAAAGGUUGUGACCUAUGGUCACUUGGUACGAAUUGAUACGUCAUGUUGUUGUGAUGUUAGCAUUUGUGAAUUAUUGUGUGGGUUGGUUGUUGUUAUAAGAGUCUAAGGGUGGCAUUUCAGUGUUGUUAUGUGAGGCAUACAGGUGACAUCUCACUAUUGUAGAAUAUACGGAGUGAUAAGGGUGGCUAUCGUUUUAUUAUCUGGGCCGAGUGAGAAUGGGGGCUAUUAUAUGGAGUUAUAAGGGUGACUAAUGGAGUGAUAAGGGUGGCUAACGAUAUUGUCAGGGCAAAGUGACGUCUGGUGGCUAUUGGAGUGAUAAGAGUGGCAAUGUUAGAGAUAACGUGAUGGCUUGGAAACAUUUUUUUUAGUGAUUUUCAUGUGAUUGUGUGCUUUUCCUUGUGUUUGUAAUACAACUUAUGUGACUUGUUUUUAUUGCUUUGAUGAGCUACUCGAUGACUUUAAUAUUAUUCGUUGACUUAGGUUGCAAUAGUAUACUCACACAAGCAUACAUCGUAACAUGCCAAUUAUACUAGAUUAGGAGUAUGAAACUUGAAUUUAAAGAUCAUGUCCAUUUGCUUUUGUAUCAUAAAUCUUCAUGUUGCAAUUGAGCCCGUGAUCAAGCCGGGCAGAUUGUGAUUAUGAGCCUCUGAUCAUGCCGAGAAGAUUGUGAUUGUGAUCCUGUAACUAUAUUAGAUAGAUUGUGAUUGUCAGUAUGUGGCAACGCUGGACAUACCAUGAAUGUGAGCUUGUGAUCAUGCUGGUGUGGAUUGAGAUAUUGGCACAUGAGUAGUUGUCAUGACCCAAAAUCCCACUACAGACGUCGUGAUGACAUUUAGUCUCUAAGACUCGUUAAGCCGAUUACAAUAAUAAUACACGCCAUAUUUUAUAUAUUACAAUUUAAUACAAGUAUCGAAACUAAAAACAAAAAUAAUUACGCAACCUCCAAAGAAAGGUAAUAUAGAAUCACAAACUCUAAUUGAAUACAUGGAAAGACCUCAAAUCAAAAUACAAUAUUGUUCAAUGAUAAGUGACAAUACAUCAUAAGGAAAAAACUCCAAUGGACUAUGAUGACCAGGCAGCUCUACAUCGAAUCCUUAUGAUCACUAUCAAACUCCAAUCGAGUUUGAUUUUCUCCAAUACCUAGCUGUGCAUAAAAUAUGUAGAAGUGUAGUGUGAGUACUAUCGACCCCAUCUCAUGUGCUCAAUAAUUCUAUUGUACAACCUCGUUAAAGUAGUGACAAGGAUAUUUAGUUAACAAAUAUUCACUAUACAACCUAUGCAAUAGACUUAGAGUAGAAAUAGUUAUAGAAAAUGACAUAUAAGGGUACAAUAAAACAACUAUGCGAGGCAGUAAAUGAUUAUUAGGAAAAAUUGCAGUAGUAGAUUCAUAAUUUUUCCUAAUGUGAACAAUGUAUUUAAGAUAUCAAAUCGAAUGGCAUGAUAACACCUUCGAGCAUUUAUCUCAUUCUAACUCAAUCUAUUUUUGUAGAUCAAAUCAAUUGGUGCGGUAACACCCUUCGUGUAUUUAUCUCUUUCUCACCAUGCAUAUAUAUAACACUAUCAACUAGGUGGGAGAAAUGCAAAUAACAAUAAUUAUAAAGUGGAAAGUAGACAAGUUGAAAUAAAGAAUAAGGCAUUGCAUAUGGACAAUGGUACCAGACUAGGUGAAAGGCAUAACAAUUAUGACAACAAUUAAGAAACAAGAAUAUAAAUUUCACUAACUAGCAUGGUAGAAGGCUUAAUUCAAACAUAAUAACAAGUAGAAAAUCAUAAUAUCUGCAAAUUAAAAAGAUAGAAAACCUGAAUGUAUACACCACGAAAAGAUAUCACAAUAUAAUGUAUGACUCUCGUCCUCUCCUGCGUAGAAACGCCCUUCGUGUCUUGAACAUAUAUAAUACAAAAAAUAUGAUAAUGUAACUGAAAUUGCACUACAUCACCCUUCGUACAUUUACUCUCAUCCUAAUAUAAAAAUGUUCGUGACAACAUAAUAAUAUAAUUUAGAUGGAACGACAUCACCCUUUGUGUUUUACACUCUUCCUCACAUAAUAAUAAAUGUGAAAUGACACGAAAUAACCCUUUGUGCUUUUACUCUCAUUGAACAUGAUAGUAUAAAUAAAAUGGCACGGUAUUAUCCUUUGGGCAUAAUAUAUAUAUAUGAAUGGCACAACAUCACCCUUCGUGUUUUGCACUCUCCCUCUCAUGAUAGUGUAUAUGAAAUGGCACGGCAUUUUCCUGCUUUUUACUCUUCCUUACCAAGAACAUGUAUAUCAUUAACAAGCAAAGUAGGAAGCAUAAAUAAUAUCAAGGAGAGUAUUUAAACGAAUAUUUGAAUUGAACAUCAAUAACAGCUUUCAAGUCAAUAAUAAUUCAAUAAAUCACAAGUAAUUUAUUAUUCAAGUAUUUCAACAAGUCUCAAAACUAACCUUCAACUCAAGUAUAAAAUUCAAAAUUUAAAUAAUAACGACUGUAGCGGUGCGUUUAUAUAGACACUUACCUCAUUCCUGAACGGGUAUAACAAUCCAAUAUGGCUUUUUCCUUUUAAAUUCUCAACAAAACGAUCAAAAACAUUAGAAAGUAUACUAAUGACCAAAUUUAAAACAUGAAUAAUUUCAUAAACGUUCCGUCAUUGUUUCUAGCAUUGACUUUCAAAUCCAUAGAAAUCUAAAAAUAAAAGAAACAUGAAACAAGAAUAUCACAUAAUUCUACAAAGCACAAUUAAUCGUUUAAUUCAACCAUGAACAUGUUUAAUCCUGGAACAUGCACAUAUCUUGUCAUCUCAUAUAUGUAUCACCCCCUCCCUCCUCCUGCAUGUUCCAAACAACUCCAAUUAGUACGAAAAACUCUCUCAACAACAUUAGUGUGAUGACCCAAAGGGUCAUCUUUAGUUUUAGAACUCGAAUCUGUGUUCCGGGACUUUAAAAACCUCAUUUUAUCUUUCCUCGAUUUGCAUGCACAGUCGGGCGUGAUUCCCGUAAGCUUUUAUUUGGAAAAUUCAUGAAAUAAUAAAUUUGGCCUAAAAAGUUAAUUUUUGUUGACUUCAGUCAACAUUUUGGAUAAACAGACCCGGACCUAUGAUUUUACGAUAUCGGUAGGUUUUUACUAAAAUAUGGAACCUAGGCGUAUGCCAUGAAUCGAAUUUAAAGCCCGAAAAAUGAAUUUUUGAUGAAAAUUGUAAAAUGAAAAAUCUAAAGAAUUAAAGAAUUGAUUAAUGGUUGAUCUCAUUCGUAUUGGGCCGAUAUUUUAUUUUUAGAGCUCGGUAUAGGUUUAAUAUAAUAUUUCAUUCAUGUCUAUGAAAUUUGGUUAAAAUAAAGUUUAUUUGACGUGAUUCGGACCUUGGGUUGAGAAAAUAGAAGUUUUAAAACUACCUUGAAAAUUUCAUGUAGUCUGGUGCUAAAUUCGAAUUUCUAGGUGUUAUUUGGUGAUUUGAUAAUACGAGCAAGUUUGUAUGAUAUUUUAAGACUUGUGGUCAAGUUUGGUUUGGAGCCUCGAGGUUUCAGGUGAGUUUCUGAUAGGCUAUAGAGUGAUUUGGAACUUAGAAAAGUUGCUGGUGUUCUUCAGUAGUGUUGCAAGCCUCAGACCUCACAAAUGCGAGGUUAGUGAUCGCAAUUGCGACACAUUCCUUGCAUUUGCAAUGAAAACACGAAUGUGAAGGGCUUCACGUUUUCUAUAGCUUCUUCGUAUUUGCGAGCUUCGCAAUUGCGAAGCUCAAGUUGCAAAUGCAACAUCUGCGGCUGAUAUGUUUGGACUUAGACAUGAUUUUUCGUUCAUUCUCUCAUUUUUAAAAAUCUAAACUUUAUGAGACGAUUUUCAAAGGCUAGUUCUUCUACAAAUCUUAGGUAAAUGAUUCUUAACUCAUUUCUUUCAUACUUUUACUUCUUUUCACAAGAUCUCAACCUAGAAUCUUGGAUUUUGAUGGUGGAAUUGGGAAUUUUUGGGUACAACUUAGGAAUUUCAAAAUGUCGGAUUUAGACCUCAAACUGAGGUCAAAUUCCAAAACCAAUUGUAUAUCCGCGUUCAGGGGUGAAUGGGUAAUCGGGUUUUGGUUUGAAUUUUGGAUUUUGACCAAGCGGGUUGAGGUCGAUUUUUGACUUUUUGGGGAUUGGAGAAUCUAUAAUUAUGCAUUGGAAGUGAUUUCUUUAGUGAUAAUUGAUAUUAUUAAGUUAAUUAUGGCUAGAUACGAGUGGAUUGGAGGUGCAAUUGAGAGGUAAAGUGGUAAUUGAGCUUUGAAUUGGUCAUUGGAUUGAGGUUAGUGUUUGGUCUAACUUUGACUCGAGGGAUUAUGGAUCCCCGACUUAAUUGCUAUGUGAAAUUCUAUGUGUUUGGCGUAUAGGUGGUGUGAAGAGUAUCUAUGCACCACCAAAUUAUCUAUUUAGCGUGUUCCGUUUCCCGUUUCUAAUACAUUAUCUUCCUGUCGUAACUGCUACCUGCUUAUUGGUGCUUCCAUAUUCAAUGUCUUCUUGUUAGAUGGUGUAUCUUUAUUGAAGGUAUCAAUUUUUCCGUAGUUCAUUGUGUCACAUUAUUGGUUUAGGUUAGUUUAUUGGUGUUUCAUGCAUGGUACAUUUUAUUUGGUCUCGUUGUGUACAUAAUUGAUAAAGUCUCAUAAUUGUAUAACUUCCCGUUUGUUUUGUGUUAAAGGCAUAUGUGAAGGGAUUUGAGCCAAAUUAUAAAAUAGUUAUUCUAAUUGUGUUAUUGGUAUUGAUAUGGUGGGAUCCGAUUGAAUACCGCAACAUUAGGAAUAAGGGUGAAAUAUUAUGGCAAAACUCUCCUUGCAAAAAAUUAUGGCAAAGAGAGUUUUGCCAUAAUUUUUAGCUGGACAAAAAUAACCAAAACUUUCUUUGGCGCUUUUAAUUGCUUAAUCAACUUGACACAGAGACAUAGACAAAAAUGAAUAGUGAAGAGAUAAAUUAAUCAAUUCUACUAGAAUUUGAUUGGAAGAAGUUCGAAAAAAGGGAGUGAAAUUGCGGAAUCUUGUCUGUGGUCGGUGAGAAUCACGAGCCAUUAAUAGAGAACCAAUAUCAUCUCGAAAAAUGCCGACGGUGCUGGUUGACUCACUGGAAAUCUGACAAACUUUCAGAAAUUUGAGCUUCACUCAAAUCCUCUGAUUGAGUUUUUGCACAUCCGUUUGGAGAUUAUUAUUUUGGACAAUUUUAAAUCAAUUCUUUUUGCUAAGGUUCCUAAUCUGGAGAUAAUUCUUUUGGAUCAUUCAUCAUCAAGAUUCAAGAAUUCCAAGACUUUGAAAGCAAGAAGAGUUAACUACAAGAGAAUCAUGAAAUUGACAAAUCGUCGAAACUUUCCUAUACACGGGUUUGGGAGCAGAAACAUUUAGAGAAUUUGGAAGUCCACACAUCCCCGACUGUGAUCCAGGUUCUAUCUUUCCUAAAUUGUAUUGGCACACAUAUAUUUACUGUUGCCUUGCCAACAAUUUUGAUUGAAUUGAUUGCUUUUUUUAUCUUCACUACUAGUGUUUUAAGAUUAAGGUUUCAUCUAUUCAUUUCAAUUCUAUGUUUCCAUAAGGGUAGACUCGUAACGUGGUUGUUAUUGGUUCUUAGUAGUAGUGUUUACCUAAUACCUUUUGCUUAUAGUUGCAAUAGUGAACGAUGUGAAAGUAAGGUCAUGUCCUCGGGUAGGGCUGGGGGUGGGAUCCAGGGGUGGGAAGGGGGUAUGAAAGCAUCUUGACUGAGAUUUGGGUCUUGGAACAUUGGUACAUUGAUGGGGAAGUCUAUAGAGUUAGGUAAGAUUCUUCAGAAGAGGAAGAUUAUCAUAGCGUGUGUUCAGGAGACUAGACGGAAGGGUACUGGCGCACGAGAUGUAGACGGGUUUAAACUAUGGUACUCAAGGGCGCUGGGAUAAGAACGGGGUUGGCAUUUUAGUUGAUAGGGACCUUAGGGAGCUCGCGGUUGAGGUUAGGAGGGUAAAUGAUAGGUUGAUGAGUAUUAAGCUGGUAGUUGUAGGUUACUGUAAAUAUGAUUAGUGCAUAUGCUCCUCAGGUAGGUUUGGACCAGGAUGUUAGGAAGCAAUUCUGGGAGGAUUUGGAUGAGAUGGUGCGUAGUAUCCCACCAGAGAAGUUGUUUAUUGGUAGAGAUUUCAAAGGUCAUAUUGGGGCUAGUGCUAGGGGUAAUAAUGAUAUACAUGGCGGGAAUGGUUUUGGGGAUAGAAAUGAGGGAGGUAAUUCUCUGUUGGAUUUUUCUAGAGCUUUUUACAUGGUUAUGGCUAACUCGAGUUUUCAUAGAAGGAGAAGUACCUGGUCACUUUUCGUAGUUCAAUGGGCAAGACCCAGAUUGAUUAUCUUCUAUGCAGGAAAUGCGAUAAAGGUUUGUGCAGUGACUGCAAGGUCAUCCCAAGUGAGGACCUCACAACUCUUCAUAGGCUUCUAGUUAUGAACCAGGAGAUCAAGAGGAGUUGGAGGAAGAGGGUGUGGCGCAGGGAACCUAAUAUCAAUUGGGGUAACUUCACCAAGGAAAAAUCUCAGGAGAUAGGGGAGAAGUUGUUGGCAAUGAGGGCCUGGAUGAGAAGAGGGUGUAUCUAGUAUGUAGUUUACGGCCGCGAAUUAUACAUUAUCUUCCUGUCGUAACUGCUACCUGCUUAUUGGUGCUUCCAUAUUCAAUGUCUUCUUGUUAGAUGGUGUAUCUUUAUUGAAGGUAUCAAUUUUUCCGUAGUUCAUUGUGUCACAUUAUUGGUUUAGGUUAGUUUAUUGGUGUUUCAUGCAUGGUACAUUUUAUUUGGUCUCGUUGUGUACAUAAUUGAUAAAGUCUCAUAAUUGUAUAACUUCCCGUUUGUUUUGUGUUAAAGGCAUAUGUGAAGGGAUUUGAGCCAAAUUAUAAAAUAGUUAUUCUAAUUGUGUUAUUGGUAUUGAUAUGGUGGGAUCCGAUUGAAUACCGCAACAUUAGGAAUAAGGGUGGCUAGAGAGGUCUUAGAAGUCACGAAGGGCUCUUCUAGGGGUCAUAAAGAGGACUGGAGGUGGAAUGGAGAGGUUCAAGAUAAAGUGGAAGCUAAAAAGGUUGCUUAUUUGAAGGUAGUGGAGAGUACAAACGACGAGGAAAAAAGGACUUAUCGGGAAAGUUACAGAAAGGCAAAGAAAGAGGCGAAGUUAGCAGUUACGACGGCUAAAAACACGAUGUUUGCUCAUUUGUACGAGGAGUUCGAGGUCAAAGGAGGGGACAAGAGGUUGUACCGGUUGGCAAAGGUGAGGGAGAGGAAAGCCCGCGAAUACACCAAGUCAAGUGCAUGAAGGACGAGGAUGGCAAAAUGUUGAUAGACGACGAACUUUUUAGGAGAAGAUGGCAGUUAUACUUCCAUAUAUUGUUCAAUGGGGAGGGGGAUAGACUCAUUUUGCUGGAAGCAUUGUAGAACUUCGAGAGUCGGUGGGAUUUUAGGGUAUUGUAGGUUGAUUAUGGAAGAGGAGGUGGAAGGGGCGAUGCAUACGAUGUCUAGGGGCAUAGCUAUGGGGCCAAACAAUGUUUCGAUGGAAUUUUGGAAAAGCAUAGGGUGAUCUGGUUUGGAGUGGCUAACUGAGCUAUUUAAUGUUAUUUUUAAGAUAAAGAAAAUUCCCGAAGAGUGGAGGUAGAGUACGAUGGUUUCGUUUUAUAAGAACAAGGGUGAUAUCUAAAAUUACAACAAUUAUACGGUAAUCCAGUUGUUCAGUCACACUAUGAAGGUUUAUGUGAGGGUGGUGGAGGCAAGGGUGAGGAGGUACAUGUCUAAUUCUGAGAAUCAUUUUGGAUUCAUGCCGGGGCAUUCGACUACGGCAGUGAUUCAUCUAGUAAGGAGAUUAGUGGAGCAGUACAUAGGGAAGAAGAAUGAUUUGCAUAUAGUGUUUAUUGUCCUUAAGAAAACAUACGAUAAAGUAUCGAGGGAGGUCUUAUGGAAUUGUUUGGAGGUUAGUGGCAUUCAAGUAGUGUACCUUCGGGUGAUUAAGGAUAUGUACGAUCAUGCUAAGUCUCGGGUGAGGACAAUGGGAGAUGACUCGGAGCAAUUCUCUAUGGUGAUGGGGUUGCACCAGGGAUCGACUCUUAGCCCAUUUUUAUUUUCUUUGGCGAUGGAUGUACUAUCGCGAAACAUCCAAUGGGAGGUGCCUUGGUGCAUACUAUCUACCGAUGAUAUAAUGUUGAUUGAUGAAACGCGUAGCGGAGUUCACGCGGGGUUAGAUGUUUCGAGACAAACCCUAGAGUCUAAAGGUCUCAAACUGACUAGAACCAAGACAGAAUACUUGGAAUGCAAAUGCAGUGACGGGGCCCAUGAUGCGGAUGUAGAGGUUAAGCUUCAUGCUCAAGUUAUCCUCAAGAGAGCGAUUUUUAAGUAUCUCGGGUCUGCUAUCCAAGGUAACGAGGAAAUUACAAAGAUGUCUCCCAUCAUAUCAGAGAGGGAUGGGUGAAGUGGAGGGCCGCUUCUGGUGUGUUUUAUAUGAUAGGAAUAUGCCGCAAAGACUUAAGGGUAAGUUUUAUCGAGCGGUGGUUUGACCGGCUAUGCUAUAUGUGGCUGAGUGUUGGCCAAUGAAGAACUCCCAUCUGCAGAAGAUAAGAGUAGCAGAGAUGAGGAUGUUAAGAUGAAUGUGUGGGUGUACCAUGAGAGAUAGGAUUUAUGAGUGAAUCUAUCCGAGACAAAGUGGGAGUAACCUCUAUGGACGACAAAAUGUGGGAGUUGAGGCUGAGAUGGUUCGAACAUGUUAAGAGAAGAAGCAUUGAUGCUCCUGUUAGGAGGUGUGAGAGAUUGGUUAUGAAGAGUUUGAUUAUAGGUCGAGGUAGGCCUAAGAAGUAUUGGGAAGAGGUGAUUAGAUAUGAUAUGGCGCUACUUUAGCUCACUGAGGACAUGACCCUUGAUAGGAGGGAAUGGAGGUCGAGGAUUAAGGUAGAAGGUUAGUAGGUAGUUUAUAGUUGUUCAUCGAUAGUCUUAGUAGCAUGUAUGUCCCUUCAUAUUCUUAUAUUUCUAUUAUAUUAUGUGGUUGUGUUUGCCUUAGGCAUUGUAUUCCCCGCUGCUAUUAUUUGGUAGUACUUAUCCCCUCCCCCAUUUCUUUUCUCUUCAUUCCUUACGUUCUACUUCUUCCGGUCCUUUCUAUGCCGAGGGACUAUUGGAACGCCCUCUCUAGAUGCAUUACGUAGUGGUAAGGUCUGCGUACAGAUUUCCCUCCCCAGAAACCAUAUGUUGGGAUUAAACUGGGUUUUUUGUUGUUUUUGUUGCUGGUGGUGGUGGUAGUGGGAUUGGGUUGCGCUCCGCAAUAGGAAUAAUAAGGUGGACAGGUGGGAUCUGCUUGCACACUGUAACAAGAGUAAUAAGGGUAAAUGUUCAUUAUGUCACUGAUGAUAUAGUGGGAUCGGAUGCAUGCCGCGUCAUUUUAUUGUUUAUAUAUUCUUCCUCUACUACGAUUUUAUUCUAUAAAAUUAGAACCCUCUUAAAGAUUGGUUAUAACUGAGCUCUUGCAAGAUAAUUGAGUUCUGUAUUUAUUUUACUACAAGUUACUAUUCCAUUUCAUUCCGUACUUCCUUUUGAUUUAUUAUAAAUUGUAUGCAAAUUAUAUUGCAAAAGACCCAACUUAGCCUCGUCACUACCUUGUCGGGGUUAGGCUCGACACUUACCAGUACAUGGGAUCGGUUGUAUUGAUACUGCACUCUGCACUUUCUGUGUUUAUUUUGGAGUUGGUCGGGGCUGAUCGAGAGGUCAGUUUUAGGCAUUCAUAUAGGAGACCCAAGGUAGUCUUACAAGCGUCUGCUGGCCCUGGCAUCCCCUCCUAUGUUCUACAUUCCUGUUUUAUUUUCUUUCGAGACAUAUACUUUUCUUUCAAAGAAAUACUUGUAGAUAUUCAUAGGAUGUUUGUGGGUUGUGACACCAGUUUUUGGGUGGUAAUAAUUUCAAAAUUUUUUGUAGUAUAUAGAUAACCGAUUUAUUAUGUACUUCCAUUUUUAUUUGUGUUGAUUUAGUUUUUUUUUUAAAUUUUAAUUAUAAAUAUAAAGGAAAAAGGUGAAUAUAGCUCUAACAUUGGCUUGCCUAGCGAGUGCAACAUUCGGCGCCAUCACAAUCCUUACGGUGGAAAAUUUGGGUCGUGACAGUUACGCAAUACACUUACCUUUUUUGGUAAUUAAAUGAUUUUAUUUACCAAUAGCAAAUAUGUACAAAUUCUAUCUGGAACAUGACAUUCCAAGUUCCAUUCCUUCUUCAACAUUUCUUCUAUGUUCCUUUAUUGUAGGUAAUCUAUUUCUGCUAUUCUCUUUUCUAUCUUACUAUUCAUCGAUCCUCUUACUGUUACCUCUAGUACAAUUUGCCUCACUAUCAUUUCCACUGUUUUCUGAUGACCUUGGAAUACUCUUCUGUUCCUUUCAUUCCAUAUGUGGUACAUUGCACAUGCCAGAAUCAAUCUAUUGACUUGAGCUGGUGAAUUGUUUUUAGUUGCUUUCCUUUCAGCCCAUUAUAUCUCCCUUUGCCAUUCCAUCAGUGCUCUUAGUAUUUCUUGCAAGUGUAGAAACUUGCUCCAUAUAUCUCUAGCAAUUCUACAUUUAAACACCAGAUGAUCAGUAGUCUCUUCUACUUCAGUACAUAAAGGAUUGCUUACUUCAUCUGCAAUCCCCCAUAUGUGUUGUCUGCUUCUUGUAAGGAACCUGUUUUGUAUAGCUAAAUUCAGUACAAAGAUCCACUUUGGAGCUCCUAGAUUGCUUCACGUUAGUCUCCUCCAUGACACCUUUUGAUAUUGCUUUCGCAUGCUAUUAUACCACUUCUUGAUAGAGAAGUAGCUCUAUUCUAUCACUUCCUUCAUGCUACCUCCUGCUUCUUUUAUGUAUCUCUUUGCUUUGAUUAUUUUUUGAAUUAUCCAUGAUGCAUUCCUUGGUUUGCUAUCCCACACUUCUUGUUUCUUCUCAUAAUACAGAUCGAUCCAUUGGGACCCAUAGCUUGUUCUUCUUCUCUCAUAAGUUUUAUAAUAAUUUGCAAAUUGCAGCUUUAUUCCAUAUUUGAAUGUCCAUAGCACUAAAACCUCCUGCUGUCUUUGGUGAGCACACUUUUUCCCAUGAAAUCAAACCUUUUUUUAAAGCAUAUGUUCCUCAAGUCCACAAGAAUAUUCUGCAUAUUAUUUCUAUCCUCUUUAUUAUCUGCUUAGGGGUAAUAAAUAUCUGUGCCCGGUAGAUUUUUAUAGAGAAUAGAACUAUAUUGAUCAGUUGCAAUCUGCCUGUAUAAGAUAAGAACUUUGAAGUCUAUGAGGUGAUGCAGCCUAAUAUCUUUUCCAGUAGUGGUUGGCAUUGAAACAAAGAUAUCCUCUUAGUGAUGAGUGGUACUACAAGAUAUUUGAGUGGAAAUUCUCCCCUACUAAAUCCAUUACCCGCAUUAUGUUCCUAUAUACUCUGUGGGACACCUCCAAAAUAAAUGGAGCUCUUUGCUGUAUUUGCUUUAAUCCAGAUGCCUUAGAGAAUUCCAUAAAACAGUUGAGCACCAUUUGAAUGGAGAUAGUAUCACCUCUGCUGAAUAGCAGCAGAUCAUUUGCAAACCCUAGUUGGAUGAUAUUUAACUUGUCGCAUCUAGGAUGGAAAAUUGUAAUAUAGCAUAUACCUCAGGGAUUUAAAGCUCUUUGUGAGAUAUUCCAUACCUAGAACAAAUAACAAUGGUGAUAAUGGAUCACCCUGCCUUAGUCCUCUUCUUGCUUUAAAUGGUUCCAUUGGUUUUCCAUUGAUGAUAAUGGAAUAGGAUACUGUUCUUAUGUACACCAUAAUCCAUUUUAGAAAAUUCUCUAGCAUUCCUAGGUUGUUUAGCACUUGUUCUAAGAAGUCCCAUCCUACAGAAUCAUAUGCCUUUUGCAAGUCCAAUUUUAUCAUACAUAUAGGAGAUAUGCUCUUCCUCCCAUACCCUUUCACAAACUCAUGACUUAGGAUUAUGUUAUCUAUUAUGACUCUUCUAGGAAUAAAACCAGAUUGACUUUUGUUAACUAGGUGAUCCAUCACCCUUGCAAUCUAUUGGUCAAGGUUUUUGAGAUAAUCUUGUGUGGAACUCUGCAGCAUGAAAUAGGUCUAAAAUAUUUGAUAAUUGAAGAGUGCUAAAUCUUAGGGAUCAAAGUGACAGUUGUUACAUUAAUAGGCUUGUACAUUUCAGAUUUGUUGAAGAAGUGGAGCACAGCCUCAGAUACUUCUUUCCCUGUUAUCCCCCAUGUUUUCUUCAAAACUUUGAGUUGAAACCGUCACAUCAUGGGGCGUUUACUUCAUCUAUUCCUUUAAAUGCUUGUUGAAUCUCUUAUAUAGUAUCAUUUCAAUUACUUGUAACUGUUACUUCCUAUAUAGUACAUUGUCCUCCUUCCUAUUGCCUACCUGAAUGGCUGGUAUGCUAUCGGCUGCUGAUCCUAAUAGGCCUUUAGGAAAUUGUACUAUUUCCAUUUCAAUUGAUUUCCUAGACUAAAUUAUUUCACCAUUUGUAUUUCUCAAACUUCUAAUCUUAUUUUGAUUUACUCUACUCUUCAUGUUACCAAAGAAGAAUGCUAUAUUGUGAUCCUUUAGUUUCAACCAUUGUUUCCAGGAUUUAUGUUUAUAGAUACUUUCGUCUAUACUUGUCCAUUUCUCCAAUUGUUCCUUUAGUUCUUUUUCUUCUUCAAAACUGUGUGUUGAUGCACUUGUAGUUCCCAUCUACCCUUGUAUCUCUUGCAGCCUUUGCCUUGCAUUUUAACCUUCAAUUCUACUACUUGAAUUUCUUUUGUGUUCAGCCUCUUUAGUGCAUAUCUAACUUCCUUUUCUUUUGUGUUCAGCCUCUUUAGUGCAUAUCUAUCUUCCUUCAUCUUUCUCUAGACUUCUUCCAUUCUGCCCAUUUUUUGGUGUUUUAUUCCAUGCUUCCCCUACUACUUCUAAGAAAUCCUUAUGCUCAGCUAGAAAAUUUAAGAACUAAAAGGCUUUGGGGUCUUUUGUUCAUCUCCAAUCUUGAAACAUAAUGGGGAGUGAUAUGAGAAUAAAGGAUCCAUAAUCGCUGCAUCUACUUGUGGUAUGGUAUUUAUCCAUUCCGCAUUUAUGAUAGUCCUAUCAAUUUACCUAGACACAUGUGAAUUAUUCCAUGUGUUGUCCUUACGCACAAUCCUCAUUUCACACAUUCGUGUAUCUAUUAUGAAAUCUAUGAAAUCUCUUAUUUCAUUCUCUUGGACUAUGCUGCCAUUAAUUCUAUCCACCACUGUCAUACUGCUUUGUAGUCUCCCAUACAUAUCCAUGGUUUCCUCUUAUAGCAGUUCCAGUUUGAUAAGUCCCUCCAUAGACUUUCCUUGCUUCCAUUGUAUGCGACCCAUAAAUUAUCUGUGAAGUCAAACUCUUGCCUUGUGUCUAGUACCACUACCUCUAUAUGCAUGUAUUGUGGUUUAGCUUCUUUCAUAUUGAAUUUUAUUUCGGUUGGAUCCUAUAUUGCCCAUACUCUACCCUUUCCAGCUCAAUCAUAGUUUGUACACCAAUUCCAUCUAGGACCUACUUCUUGGAUGAUUUUCUUUCAAAACUUUUCUUGUACUCGAUGUUCUAUAAUAGCUAUAAUACUAAUACUAUGCUCUUUAAUAAACUUCUACAUCUCUUUUUGAUUAUAUAGCUUAUUCAUUCCCCUAACAUUCCAAGUAACUAAUUGCAUUGCACUAUUUUGUUUGUUAUCCCCUCUUUCACUCCUUGCCCAUUACUACAUUGCCAUAUAUUUUCCUUAUUUAGAUUAUUAAAGCUUGUUUCAGUAAGAAUAUUAAAUCCAUUACCCACUACUACUUCUCUUGUUGGUUCAGCAUGUGUAUUCUUUGUGGCUGAGUUUCCUUUAGCUGCUUUCCAUCCUUUAUUUUCCUCUAUUGCUACUUUUGCUAUAUUCUGCAUUUUAGGUACUUGUUCUGUAUUUUCUGCUGCUUCAUAUGCCUUAUGAAUUGUGCUUCCUUUCUCCUGUUCUUUUGGUUUCCAUUUCCUGCUUCUGCUUCUGUUGCUUGUUCAUCUGAGACUGUGUGUUUAUUUUGGCAGUUAUGUCCCAAUUGUAAGCAAGUACUAUAAUUAAUUGGCUUCCAAUCAUAUAUAACUGAUUGAUAAAUUGCCUACCACUCGGAUCCUUGAAUGCUAUAUUUGUUGGUAAUGUCCAUUUAUACAAUGAUUCUACCAUAAGAUAUACUUUCCACUUUGUUGUACAUUCAUUUUCAUAUUGGACUUCCCAAUCCACUACCUAUACGGCUCAGGGAAUCCAUUGCCUAAUAAUUCAGAGGCAGGUUUGGUAGUUUAACCCAUAGUGGCAGAGUUUUCACCACCUCUUCAUUAAAAUCAAAGUCCUUUGUCCAUGCCUUUGUGAUUACUGGUCUAUUUUUUAUUGUACAUGGUCCUGCGUAUAGAACUUCAUUUCUUUUCUCUUCAUUUUUGAAUUCCAUUACAAAAAAACCAUCAUUAUGGUAGUACACCUUAGUUUUGAUGCAAAGUUCUAUUGCGAUUCAAUAAACCUCUCAAUUUCUCCAAUACUUGGUGUAUCUCCCACCACGUACAUAAUAAAUAUCGUUUUACACUUCUCAGCUUCCUUUUCAAUUUCCUAUUUUUGAAAUUCAACAAUUUUCUCAACAUUGUGUAACACUGGCAACCCAAACGAUAGUCCCAUUCCUCUAGCAGCAAACGUGUUACCAGCAACCAGAUUUGCCCAUGAUUUACCUUCAUUUACUUUCUCUGCACUUGUAUCACUCGAGAUCUGUUGCUUCUCAAUGCGAAUUUAUUUUUCAUGUGCUCCUUCACCUUUUUUACAGCUCCUGCUAUUCGAUUUUUGUACCAUUUUUUAUUAAAUUUCAGCUUGCUCAGUCAUAAAUUGCUCUUUCAAGCUCCUACUUGCAUUUGAUGUUUCAGUUUCUCCCGACAUUGAUGUUAUCGCCUCUAGAUCUCCAUUUGUGCGCCAUGGUUUGGUGUAGACUUGUUUGAUUAGUUUUUUCUACUCGUUGUUGCUAUGAAUUCAGCUAGUUGGUUCUUCGUUACAAUUUUCUUAGGUCAUCCUCUUCCUCCAUGGCUGAUGGCGUAUUUUAGUUAUUCACGCUAAAAUGCGCCAAGAGCAUUUAGAGAGAGAAAGGUUUUUUCAAUACUUGUGUAUAACUUUAUGAAGUUAGGAUGAUACUCUAAAAUUGCUUUCUUGCUUGAAUUGACCUCUAGGCAGCUCAAAUCUAUCAAAUUAAAUGUAUAACUUCUUUACAAUUCAUCAAAAAUAAUUUACGAUAAUUUAGCAUCGACAUAAAAAUUUUGUUCUAAAAAGCCAAGUGAAAGUCAAUACGGGGCCCGCCUCUCGGACUUUCACAUAAUUUUUACAAAAUCCGAACACCCAUUUCGAUAUGAGUUCAACCAUACCAACACUAUCAAAUUCCGAUAACAACUUGACCUCCUAAUCUUUAUUUUUCUUUCUUGAAAAGUUUUGCAAUAAUCUUUACCUCUUCCAUCUAAAUCCGAAAUAAGUAAUGACUAUGGCAAAGGAUUUAUGAAAUAUAAUCACUGUCAGAUAUAGGACACUUAUCCAAGCCAAAGUCGUGAAGAACUCCUCCAAAAUAGCCAAAGAACCGAGCUCCAAAAUCUCGAUCGAAAAUGGUAAAAUUACCAUAUUUGGUCCUUAAACGAUUCUUCCCAAUUCCGCUUCUGAGGAAUAAAUUUUCGCUUCUGCGAUACAAGCGUCGCUUCUACAGAACACAAGGCCAACAGUCCCAUCGCAUAUGCGGAGUCAUUUUUGCUUUUGCGAAAUCACUUCUGUGAUGCCAAAAGCGCAUAUGCGAUGCCCUCCGCUUUUGCAACUUCUCUGCCCACUUAUGCAAUCACGUAGGUGCGGGAAUUUAUUCUCGUGGAAAUUCUCCCCUACUUACACUCCCAGCCGUAUCUGCGAAGAUGUCACGAUCCUAAAUCCGGACCCAGUAGUGAUGGCACCUCUAGUGAAGACAAGACCAACCGACACUUACCAAUUUCAGUUUUUAAGCAAUUUAACAAUAUGAAUUAAGUCUAAACAAAAUAAAUAAUCCAAUGGUAUGCAGUUAACUAUACAAAUUUACGAAAGAACAACCCAACACAGGCUGAUACCCAGGUGUCACUAGUCAUGAUCAUCUAUCAAUACGCUACAAGUUUGAGAUGCCUACUAAACGAUUAUAGAAUAACUGAUAAAGAGGUAGAAAUGAGAUGAAAUAGGGAUAAACACGGGACUGCAGACGCCAAGCGGCUACCUCUUGGACUCCAAAAUCUGUCAGAUGCUCUUAUCUCAUGCUAGCAGGACCAAGAACGCCUGAACCUGCACAAGGGGUGCAUGGAUUAAAUGGACUACUCAAAAUUAUUGAGUAAUAAUCAUAAAUAAACAACUGAGAGAUAUGAAAACAUCUAAGGCACAUAGAUACUAUAAUGAAGCAGUAAAGCCAUUAAAACAAAGUGAAUCAAUAAGGAUAUGUAAAUUCAUUUAAGUUCAGUUUAAACUUCAUGAAAUGAAUUUUCAAAAAUUAAUAGAUAAAUGAUAGAAAAAUAAGAAAUAUAAACACAUAAAGGUGUGCCCCUUAAGCACCAUGUCAAUGAAUCCUCCCCGUGCUCACUGGGGGUGUGCACACUCCUGGAGGGGCCACUUAGGGCCCAAGUGCAAAAUGAAGCCAUCUCGUGGAAUCAUCACUGGGCCCUCGGCCUCAUAUCAACUAGCCACCUCAUGGCGUACAGGUCUCAGGCCCUCAGCAUCAUAUUUAUAACAAAAUGUUUCCUCACAACAUAGGUCCUCGACCUUACUCAGUUAAAACCUCACAACUCACUUGGGCAAUAGCAAAACAUGAUUCUCAGUCCAAAAUAUCAUUUAAAGGAUCAUUUAAGUGUUAAGAUAGAAUAAAAAUCGUUGAGUUAUGAAAAUAGUGGAAUAUAACAUGAUUAAGUUCAAGUAUAAAGUCAAAACAGUGAGGAAAUAUCAAUAAAAAUCACCUAAGGGUUCAAAUAGUUGGCAAGAGGCCCAAAUAUGGAAUUCAACCUAAGACAUUAUGUACACAAAUAGAUUUUAGUCAAAUACACGGUAGAAUAUUCAUUUGGAAUGGACCAAGUCGUAAUACCCAACAGUGCACGACCCCAUGCUCAUCUUUAUGCAUGCGCAUCACCUCAAUAUAGCAAAUUGAUGUCCAAAUCCGGGGUUUCAUGCCCUUAGGUCAUCAUUUACAAUCAUUAGUCACCUCAAUCCGGUCAAAACUCUAGCCCAUGAUGCCUUUGCCUCUCGAAUCGGCCUCCACUUGCGUUGAAUCUAUCCGAAAUUAGAAUUACGGAAACAAAAUAUGCUAAGGGAGUGAAACCGUAGCGAAAAUAACAAAUUUACAACAUAAAUCCCAAAAUUACAAAAACCCGACCCACUAGGCACACAUCUCGAAAUUUGAUAAAAUUCACGUCAAUGGAUUCCUUAUCUCCCCACGAGUUGAUACAUAUCAAAUGUACCAAAAUACGACAACAAAUGGCCCCUCAAAUCAUCAGGUCUAGGUCUCCAAUAGCAAGCCCUAGUUUGCCUAAUUGUAACCCUUAAAUUCCAUUAAGUAUAGCUCUAAUCCGUGUAAUGUUACCAUAGGAACUAGUUUUUGGUUCAAAAAACUUACCUGAAUGAGGUCUCCUUGAAUUAUCUCUUCAAAAUCACCCAAAACUCUAGAAAUCGCGUUUCAAAAAGGUGUAAACCUCUGAAAAUCGCGAAGGACGAAAUAUAUACAUUUUGACCCAGGCAUUUUUUGCAUCUGCGGUCAUUUCACCGCAUCUGUGGAACCACUUAUGCAGUCAAGACCACUGCAUCUGCAGUCCUAACAUAAGUACCCAUUUUAUGUAUUUGCGAUCCACUAUCCGCACAUGCUCUACCGCAGGUGUAGUUCUCUAACCGCUUCUGCAGUUUCUGCCUCCCUAGCUCCUUUCCACUUCUGCGACCCCCUUCCUCGCAUAUGCGGAAUUGCACCUACGGUCCCUUCUCCGCAGGUGCAGAAAUACCAGAAGCAGAAAAUCUCUAGGCUCACCAAAAAUACCAAACGCUCCGUCAACCAUCCGAAAUCACCCCGAGGCUCACCGGAUCUCAACCAAAAGCACCAAUGAAUCCCAAAACCUUAUUCAAAAUUGUACCAAUCUUCAAAACACCUCAAAAAUCACCAAAUCAACCAAAACACAUAGGUUUCGCUGUCUGGUGGCAUUCCAGAAAGGUAUGUAGGACACACAUCAGGAAAAUCCCUCACAAGUGGAACAGAAUCAAUACUGGGAGUCUCAGCACCGACAUCCCUCAUAAAGGCUAGAAACAAAAGUCAAAUCCUUCCCAACUAUAUGCUGGCCCUUCAAGAAUGAGAUCACUGUAUUAGGAGCAUAAUUAGUCACACCUCCACUUAAUCCGUGGCACACCUAGUUUAGCCAAUCUGACUGUCUUAGCAUGGCAACCCAGAAUAGCAUGACAUGGAGAUAGCCAAUCAAUGCCUAAAAUGACAUUGAAAUCCUCCAAACACAAUAGUAAAAGAUCCACCCAGGUCUCCAAACCCCCAAUAAACACCACACAUGAUCUCUACACAUGAUCUCUACACACGAUCUAUAACAGCAAUAUCUCCUAUCAAGGUAGAUACACGAAUAAGGGAAGCAAAAGACUCACGAGGCAUACCCAAAUAACGAGAAAGGUAUGAUAACAUAUAAGAAAAAGUGGAAUCAGGAUUAGAUAAUACAGAGGCAUCUCUGUGGGAGACUGAAACAAUACCUAUAAUGACAAUAUCAGAAGCAAUAAUAUCGGGUCUAGCUGGAAGUGAACAGAUAAGGGCCUGAAGGCCACCUGAUCGACCUUCCCUUCUAAGGUGGACCCUAGCUGACUGACUUCCACCCCUAGCUAGCUGGUCAAAGUUGAAGCCGAUAACUGACCCCUCAUCUUAGAGGAACUUGCAAGACAACGAGCACACUGCCUCCACAUAUGACCCAUCUCUCCAUACUCAUAACAACUCCCAGGUGCUGGAGAAGGGGACUAAAGGGAACCCCUCGCAUAUGAGUGACAAGCAGAUGCAUCUGGCAUAGAAGAGCCCUGAAAUGAAGUAGCACGAGAGGAACUCUGAGCUGGAAGGGCACUAAGUGAUGACUGGCCCUAAUGAGAACUGUGAGAACCAUGACCCGAUGACGCCUCACGAAAACCUGAGGCUAGCUGGCUAAGCAUGCAUGAAUGGACGGCCACUGCCAUAAGAAACUGACCUCUUGAUGGAGCACCACUAUAUCUACCAGAUCCUCGAGGCCUCUUGGCCUCCCUCUCCUUUCUCUCUUGGCGACAAACAGACUCAAUCUGCCGAGCAAUGCCUACAACGUCCUUGAAGGUAGCACCAGUCACUUUCUCCCUGGUCAUGAGAAUAGGAAGCUCAUAAGUGAGGCCAUCAACAAAUCUACUAAUGCUCUCUCUAUCCGUCAAAACCAACCAAAUCAAAUGACGACCUAAAUUAGAGAACCUUAUCUCAUACUGCAUCACAAUCAUCUCUCCCUGAUGCAACCACUCAAAUACCUUAUGUAGCUGGUCACUGCGAGACUACGAAACAUUCUUCAGAAAGAGAACAAAGAAUUGCUGCAAGGUAAUGGGUACUGCACCAACUGGCCUACGACUCUCAAAUUCCCCCCACCAUGUAAAGACAGCUCCAGCAAACUGCCAAGUAGUGAAAGCGACCCUGCUGGGCUCUAGAAUACUCGUUGUACAAAGUAUCCUCUAACAUUUAUUCAAGAAACCCUAGGCAUCCUUGCCCUCUGCACCACUAAAACUCGGAGGCUGAAGUCUACCAAACCUUUUCAACCUAUGCUGCUCGUCCUGUAGCAUGGCAGGAACUAUAUAGUCCUGAGCAACUGUAAUAGGCUGGGCUGGAUGUGCCCUUGGCAUUUGAAGUCCCUACAAGACCUUCUCAGGUGUUCAAGUGGUGGGAAUCUAAUAGCCUCUCCCGGUCUAAGAAGUAGUUGCGGUUGUAGUAGCGGAGCGCCUGAGCUAGGCCAGUGUAAACUGAUAGAAUUUGAGCUAAGGCCUCCUGAAGACCCAGAAUCGUAAUGAGCACAGCUGGUGCAUGAGCUAGUGUUGCUGAAGCCUCCAUAACUGGGACUUGAUCUUGAACUAGGGCGGCUGGUGGACCUAUAGGUGCCGCCCUAGCUGCUGUGGAGGCCAUACCUCAGCCCCUACCAAAAUCACGACUGCGUCAUAAGCCUCUAGUGGCCACAACUAGGGGUACUGGUGGUCGUCCAUCCUGACCGGUAGCGUGUGUCCUUACUAUUUGUAAGAGAAUAGAAUAAUGUAAGUUUAGUACUCAAAUCAACGAAUUCGCACGACGAGAAUUUCAAGAAUAUGAUGUUAUCCUAAAAGUUCUACAUCCUCUCAAAAAUAAAUACAGACGCCUCAGUACCGAUCCUCAAGACUCUACUAAACCUGUUCAUGACUCGUUAGACCUAUGUAACCUAGCUCUGAUGCUAACUUGUCACGACCCUAAACCCUAACCUCUCCUGAAGAAUAGACCUGCUGGCACUUUCCCAUUUUUGUUUAUAAGCAAUUAAACACUAAUAAUUAAGUCUAAACAUAAUAAAUAAUCCAAGAGUAAGCAGUUAACCAUACAAAUUUGCGGAAGAACAACCUAGCACAUCUUGAUACCGGGGUGUCACUAGUGAUGAGCAUCUAUCAAUAUGAUUCAAGUCUAAUAUGCCUACUAAACUAUAACAGAAUAACUAAUAAAAAGAUAGAAAUAAGAUAAAGGGGGAGAAACAUGGGACUACGGAUGCCAAGCAGCUACCUCGUGGACUCCGAAAUCUACUGAGAGCUCUCAACUCGCGCUAGCAAGAUCAGCAAUGCCUUAAUCUUCACAAAGGGUACGGGGAGUAGAGUAAUUACUCCAACUUAGUGAGUAAUAAUCAUAAAUAAAUGUAUGAGAGAUAUGACAACAGGUAAGGCAAAUGCAAGCUAUAAUAAAGCAGUAAAACUAGUAAAAAUAAUGAAUCAGUAAAUACAUGUAAUAUCACUGAAGUUCACUUUAAACUUCAUGAAAUGCCUUUUCAACAACUAACAGAUAAAUGACAGACAAAUAGGAAAGAUAAAAACAUAAAAUUGCUCCUCAGGCACAAUGUCAACGAAUCACCCCUUGGGCUAUAUCUAUUAUCACAAUGGGUACCCGCGCUCACUGGCAGUGUGCAAACUCCUGGAGGGGCCCCUCACGGUCCAAGUAUAAUAUGAAGGCAUCUCGUGGCAUCAUCACUAGGACCUUGGCCUCAUAUUAAGAGGCCACCUCGUGACGUACAUAUCUCACGACCUCGACCUCAAAAUCAUAACCAAAUGUUUCCUCACAAGCCACUCGGACAAUAGUAAAAUAUGAUUCUUAGCCUAAAAUAUCACUUGAACGAUCAUUUAUUUUUUAAGACGGAGUAAACAUGGUCAAGUUAUGAAAAUAGUGGAAUAUAGCACGACUGAGUUCAUGUAUAAAGUCAAAACAGUGAGAAAAUAUAAAUAAAAAUCCCCUAAGGGUUAAAAUAGUUGGCAUGACGCCCAAAUAUGGAAUUCAGCCAAAAAUAUGAUGUACACAAAUAGAUUUCAGUCAAAUACACAGUAAAACAGUCAUUCGGGAAAGUCAAAGUCACAAUCCCCAACAGUGCACGCCCCACUCUCGUUAUCAAGCGUGUGCGUCACCUCAAUAUAGCACAAUGAUAUCCAAAUUCUGGGUUUCAUAGCCUUAGGAUAUUAUUUACAAUCAUUACUCACCUCAAUCCGGUCUAAACUCUAGGUCGCGACGCCUUUGCCCCUCGAAUCGCUCCACUCGCAUAGAAUCUAUACAAAAGUAGAAUCACGGUAUCAAAAUAUGCUAAGAGAACGAAGCCCUAGUGAUAAUAAUGAAUUUACAACAUAAGUCCCAAAAUUACGAAAACCCUACCCCGGGCCCACGUCUUAGAAUUCAAUAAAAUUCACAUCAAUGAAUUCCUUAUCUGCCCACAUGUUCAUACAUAUCAAAAGUACCAAAAUCCUAUCACAAAUGGCCCUUCAAAUCCUCAAGUCUAGGACUCCAAUAGCAAGCCCAAGUUUCCCCAAUUUUAACCUUUAAAUUCCAAUAAUUAUAGUUGUAAUUCGUGAAAUAAUACCAUAGGAACAAGAUUAUGGUCCAAAAUCCAUACAUCAAUGAUGUCUCCUUGAAUUAUAUCUUCAAAAUCGCCCAAAACUCCAGAAAUCGCGGUUAAAAAUGGUGAAACCCUCCGAAAAUCGUGAAGGACGAAAUAUAUAUAUUCUAACCUAGGCAUUUUGACAUUGCAGUCGAUCCACGACAUCUAUGGUACGGCUUCUGCGGCUAAGACCAAAGCAUUUGCGGUCAAUCCACCUCAUCUACGGUACCGCUUCUGUGGUCAAGACACAACAUCUGCGGUCCUCACUUAAGUCCCGAUUUUUUGCAUUUGCGAUCCACUAUCCGCAUCUGCGCCACCGGAUAUGUGGUUCUCCAACUGCUUUUGCUGUUUCUUCCUCCCUAGCUCCUUUUUUAUUCUAUUUCCCCUUCAUCGUAUCUCCAGCAUCGCACAUGCUGUCCCCAAUCCGCAGGUGCGAAAAUACUAGAAGAAAAAAAUCUGCAGCUUGACCAAAAAUCCCAAAUCUUCGUCAACCAUCUGAAAUCACUCCGAGGACACUGGGACCUCAACCAAAAGCAUUAACAUAUCCCAAAACCUUAUUUAAACUUGUACCAGUCUUUGAAACACCUCAAACAUCACUGAAUCAACCAAAACACAUCGGUUUCAAGCCUAAGUUUCCAAAAUAUUUUAAAAUACGCUUUUAAUCAAAAAUCCAAACAAACCAGGUCUGAAAGACCUAAAGUUUUGCACACAUAUCCAAAAUGACACAACGGAACUACUGAAAAUCUCGGAAUUCAAUUUCGACCCCUAUAUAAAAAUCUGACUAACCAACCGAAAUUCGCCAAAAAUCUAAUUUCGCCAAUUCAAGCCUAAUUGUACUUUGACCCUUCAAAACAUAUUCUGAUCAGGCUCCUAAGUACCAAAUCACCUCCCGGAGCUAACGAACCAUCAGAACUCACAUCUAAGCCCUCUAACAUAUUAGCCAAUAUCCGGUCAACUUUUCCAACUUAAGUUUCUUUAAAAGAGACUAAGUGUCUCAAAUCUUACGAAAAGACUUUCCGAACUCAAGCCAACCAAUCCGAUCACAUAUAGAACCAAUAGACAAUACAAUAAAAAGCAGAAAUAGAGGAAGCAGAGCGAUAACUCAUGAAACGUCUAGCCGAAACGUCACAAAAGAGCUUCAUGCUUCUGCAAGGUCGCUUCUGCAAUAAAAAUCUCACAAACGCGGUAGUAUCAGUUGAUGUCCAGAAACAACAUAAAUUCUAGCAGCUCCUUUGGUCCGAAAUCUAAUCCGUUAAGCAUUCAAAAUCCACCCGAGGCCCUCUAGACCUUAACCAAAUAUACCAAUAGGUAUCAAAUUAUUAUACGAACUUAGUCAAGGCUUCAAACUAUGUUAAAAAUGUCAAAAUUACUAAUCGCACCUUCAAUUGAAUUAUAAGUUUUCACAUCUUCAAAAUUCUAUAUCUUUCACCGGAACAUAACAAAUCAAUCUGAAAUGACUUCAACUUUGCACACGAGUCAUAAAUGACAUAGUGGAGCUAUUCUAAUUUUCAGAAUUGUCAAAAUUCCAUUCCGGAGACGUUUUCCCAAAAGUCAAACUUCAGUCAAAUCUUUUCAUUUUAGCUUAAAAACUAAGAGUUAUUCUAUCAAUUUAAUUUUGAAUCUUUUGAAAAUCAAACUCAACUACACACACAAGUCAUUUUACAAUUCACAAAGUUACCUGGGACCUUAAGUCGCUGAACGUGACGUUAAUUCUUAAAAAGACAAUUCGGAUCAUUAUAGUUGUCUUUACGUUUGUGAUUCGAGACUUGACCACAAGGUUCCGUGAGUAUAUGAUAGUGGGUUGAGACCCAUUACUUGUGACUGUAAGAUAAAUUAUCAUUGAGUGAUUUUAUUGUGAAACUUGUGUUAGAACGACUUGAUUAAUUGGUUGUCCUUUUGUUCCUUAUUUGGUUUUAACGAUACUUCACAGUAUUCUUAUUGCUUUACUCUUUUUACCACUUGUUGAUCUUAUUUCCAUUUACUGAUUUCUGCUUUCCAUUAUUAGUUUUAUACUUCUACAUUGUACAUGUUAUUUUAUCUUGUGAGUCUUUUGACUUGUACCUCGUCACUACUCCACCGAGGUUAUUCUUGAUUCUUACCGGGUACUGAUUGUGGUGUACUCAUACUACACUUAUGCACAUUUUUUCCGCGGAGCCAUGUAUUGGAGAUAUCAGACUCGGACAGAGUUAGUCUGUUAAUACCGAGGACUCAAGGU